UAGAAAGUGGUGUAGUGGAAGCACUAAGAGUUUUGAUCUCUUCAGGUUGGGUUCGAAUCCCAUUUUUCUAA
rnacentral:tRNA from 1 species